UGUGGUUUAAUUCGAUGAUACGCGAGGAACCUUACCUGGGCUCAAAUGUAUGUUGACGUAUUCUGAAAGGGAUACUUCUUCGGACAAUAUACAAGGUGCUGCAUGGUUGUCGUCAGCUCGUGCCGUGAGGUGUCGGGUUAAGUCCCAUAACGAGCGCAACCCCUAUCAUUAGUUGCCAUCAGGUCAAGCUGGGGACUCUAAUGAAACUGCCUACGCAAGUAGUGAGGAAGGUGGGGAUGACGUCAAAUCAGCACGGCCCUUACGUCCAGGGCUACACACGUGCUACAAUGGCCGGUACAAAGGGCAGCUACCUGGUGACAGGAUGCUAAUCUCAAAAGCCGGUCUCAGUUCGGAUCGGAGUCUGCAACCCGACUCCGUGAAGCUGGGAUCGCUAGUAAUCGCGCAUCAGCCAUGGCGCGGUGAAUACGUUCCCGGGCCUU
rnacentral:rRNA from 1 species